rnacentral:rRNA from 1 species
AGUAAGAUUUAAUUAAUAUUUAUUUGAGAUUUAUAUAUUAUUUUGUAAAUUUUAUUAUUAAUAAAAUAUAUUGGGUUUAUUAUCUUCCUUUUUGUAUCACGGUCCAAUAAAUUAAUGAAAGGAUUUUCUAAUCCGAAACCCCAUGAUUAUAUUUUCUCUAGUUUUGAACAUAAUUGUUGAGAGGACCUCUUAAUAAAAUAGAAUUUAAGAAUAAAGAUUAUAGAUCGGAUGGGGUUAUAUCUGAUUGAAAAGGAUAUUAUAUCUAAUUAUAUUUAAGGGUUAAUUUCUUAAAUAUUUUUAAAGAAUUAAUUAUUGUUUGAAAUAUUGUUUAAGGUGAGAAGUUCCUUUUAAUUUAACAGUGUUAUAACUUUAUUAAAAUAUUAAUUAUUUCUUAAAAUAAAAAACUUUUCUUAUAUGAAUUAUAAUGCCAUAAUGAUGGAAUUAGUAUAAUAAAUAAGUCAUAUUAACUCGGUAUUUUUACAACUGUUUAUCAAAAACAUUUCCUUUAGAAUAUAUUUAAAGGUAUUGCCUGCUCAAUGUAUAAAUAAAUAGCUGCGGUAUCUUAACUGCACUAAGGUAGCAUAAUUAAUUGUCUUUUAAAUGGUGACUUGUUUGAAUGGUUUUAUGAGAAAAAAACUUUCUUUGACUUAAAUAGAACUUAUAUUUUAAGGUUAAAAUACCUAAUUUAUAAAGAAAGACGAGAAGACCCUGUUGAGUUUUACGAAUAUAUUAAAAUCGUUAAAAUGGGAAAUUUAAUUUUUUAAUAAAAUUUAAUAGAUCCUAAAUCUAUAAAGAUUUGGAAAAAGGAUAAAAUUACCACAGGGAUAACAGGACUAUAUCUUCUGAGAGUUCUUAUUGAAGAAGGUGUUUGUUACCUCGAUGUUGAAUCGAAAUAACUUUUUAGUGCAGCAGCUAAAUAAGUGGGUCUGUUCGACCUUUAAAAUUUCACGUGAUUUGAGUUAAGACCGGCGUGAGCCAGGUUGGUUUCUAUCUUCUUAUGACUGUUUUUUGUACGAAAGGAAUUGAACGGUUAAUUAUAAUUAAAC